UUUUUUUUUUUUUUCCCCCCGGGAUCUACCAUACAUAGCGGAGGAAAAGAAACCAACAGGGAUUGCCCCAGUAACGGCGAGUGAAGCGGCAACAGCUCAAAUUUGAAAUCUGGUCCCCAGGGCCCGAGUUGUAAUUUGCAGAGGAUGCUUUUGGUGAGGUGCCUUCCGAGUUCCCUGGAACGGGACGCCAUAGAGGGUGAGAGCCCCGUCUGGUUGGAUACCGAGCCUCUGUAAAGCUCCUUCGACGAGUCGAGUAGUUUGGGAAUGCUGCUCUAAAUGGGAGGUAUAUGUCUUCUAAAGCUAAAUAUUGGCCAGAGACCGAUAGCGCACAAGUAGAGUGAUCGAAAGAUGAAAAGCACUUUGAAAAGAGGGUUAAAUAGUACGUGAAAUUGUUGAAAGGGAAGCACUUAUGACCAGACUUGGCCCCGGUGAAUCAUCCAGCGGUUCCCGUUGGUGCACUUUGCCGGGGUUCAGGCCAGCAUCAGUUCGCUCCGGGGGAUAAAGGCUUUGGGAAUGUGGCUCCCUCGGGAGUGUUAUAGCCCAUUGCGCAAUACCCUGUGGCGGGCUGAGGUUCGCGCUUUAUGCAAGGAUGCUGGCAUAAUGGUCAUCAGUGACCCGUCUUGAAACACGGACCAAGGAGUCGUCUUCGUAUGCGAGUGUUCGGGUGUUAAACCCCUACGCGUAAUGAAAGUGAACGCAGGUGAGAGCCCUCCAGGGCGCAUCAUCGACCGAUCCUGAUGUUCUCGGAUGGAUUUGAGUAAGAGCAUACGGGGCCGGACCCGAAAGAAGGUGAACUAUGCCUGUAUAGGGUGAAGCCAGAGGAAACUCUGGUGGAGGCUCGCAGCGGUUCUGACGUGCAAAUCGAUCGUCAAAUAUGGGCAUGGGGGCGAAAGACUAAUCGAACCUUCUAGUAGUGUGUUUCCCCGUCUCUCUCCCCGCAAAAAAAAAAAAA
rnacentral:rRNA from 1 species